rnacentral:tRNA from 1 species
GUACUGGUUGUUUGGUGGUAGAAUUCUCACCUUUCAUGUGGGAGGCCUGGGUUCGAUUCCCGAGCAGUACA